rnacentral:rRNA from 1 species
GUAUGAAUGGCCACACGAGGGCUUUACUGUCUCUUACUUCCAUUCCGUGAAAUUGACCUUCCCGUGAAGAGGCGGGAAUAUGACAAUAAGACGAGAAGACCCUAUGGAGCUUUAAUUAACCGACCCAAAGAGAUCUUGAUAAUCAACCGACAGGGAUAACAUACCUCUACCAUGGGCCGACAAUUUAGGUUGGGGUGACCUCGGAGAAUAAAACAACCUCCGAGUGAUUUAAAUCUAGACUAACUAGUCGAAAGUACUACAUCACUUAUUGAUCCAAAAACUUGAUCAACGGAACAAGUUACCCUAGGGAUAACAGCGCAAUCCUAUUUUAGAGUCCAUAUCGACAAUAGGGUUUACGACCUCGAUGUUGGA